rnacentral:rRNA from 1 species
AACGAACGCUGGCGGCAGGCUUAACACAUGCAAGUCGAGCGCCCCGCAAGGGGAGCGGCAGACGGGUGAGUAACGCGUGGGAAUCUACCCAUCUCUACGGAAUAACUCAGGGAAACUUGUGCUAAUACCGUAUACGCCCUUCGGGGGAAAGAUUUAUCGGAGAUGGAUGAGCCCGCGUUGGAUUAGCUAGUUGGUGGGGUAAAGGCCUACCAAGGCGACGAUCCAUAGCUGGUCUGAGAGGAUGAUCAGCCACAUUGGGACUGAGACACGGCCCAACCUCCUACGGGAGGCAGCAGUGGGGAAUAUUGGACAAUGGGCGCAAGCCUGAUCCAGCCAUGCCGCGUGAGUGAUGAAGGCCCUAGGGUUGUAAAGCUCUUUCACCGGAGAAGAUAAUGACGGUAUCCGGAGAAGAAGCCCCGGCUAACUUCGUGCCAGCAGCCGCCGUAA